rnacentral:rRNA from 1 species
UACAGAGGUCCCGAGCGUUGUCCGGAAUUAUUGGGCGUAAAGAGCUCGUAGGCGGCUUGUCACGUCGGAUGUGAAAGCCCGAGGCUUAACCUCGGGUCUGCAUUCGAUACGGGCUAGCUAGAGUGUGGUAGGGGAGAUCGGAAUUCCUGGUGUAGCGGUGAAAUGCGCAGAUAUCAGGAGGAACACCGGUGGCGAAGGCGGAUCUCUGGGCCAUUACUGACGCUGAGGAGCGAAAGCGUGGGGAGCGAACAGG